rnacentral:rRNA from 1 species
GGGCCCGCACAAGCGGUGGAGCAUGUGGUUCAAUUCGACGCAACGCGAAGAACCUUACCCAGGCUUGAACAGCGAGUGACCAUCGACGAAAGUUGACUUCCGCAAGGACACUCGUAGAGGUGCUGCAUGGCUGUCGUCAGCUCGUGUCGUGAGAUGUUGGGUUAAGUCCCGCAACGAGCGCAACCCUUGUUUGCUGUUGCCAUCAGGUAAUGCUGGGCACUCUGCAAAGACUGCCGGUGAUAAACCGGAGGAAGGUGGGGAUGACGUCAAGUCAGCAUGGCCUUUAUGUCUGGGGCUACACACGUGCUACAAUGGCCGGUACAAACCGUCGCAAAACCGCAAGGUGGAGCUAAUCGGAGAAAGCCGGUCUCAGUUCGGAUAGCAGGCUGCAACUCGCCUGCUUGAAGUUGGAAUCGCUAGUAAUCGCGGAUCAGCACGCCGCGGUGAAUACGUUCCCGGGCCUU